UACCUAACAGCUAGCCCGCCCUUAUAAAAUCAUCAAUCCCCUAUCAAUACCCCCAAAGAUACUCUAAACACAAAACAAAACAUUUUUCCCCCCUAGUACGGGCGACGGAAAGGGAACUAGGAGCAAUAGAAAAAGUACCGCAAGGGAAAGCUGAAAGAGAAAUGAAACAACCCAGUAAAGCCCAAAAAAGCAGAGACACAACCUCGUACCUUUUGCAUCAUGAUUUAGCUAGUAUACCUCAAGCAAAAAGAAUUUUAGUUUGACACCCCGAAACUAGGUGAGCUACUCCAAGACAGCCUAAAAACAGGGCACCCCCGUCUCUGUGGCAAAAGAGUGGGAAGAUCUUUGAGUAGAGGUGACAGACCUACCGAACCUAGUGAUAGCUGGUUGCCGGGGAAAUGAAUAGAAGUUCAGCCUCACAAAUUCUUCCCCUCAACUGUCUUUUAAGGCGGUUAGAUUAAGAAAGAAGUUAAGAGAGUUAGUCAAAAGGGGUACAGCCCUUUUGAAAUAAGACACAACUUUUCCAGGAGGAUAAAGAUCAUACCCAUUUUAAGGAAAAACGCUUUGGUGGGCCUAAAAGCAGCCAUCCAUACGGAAAGCGUUUAAGCUCAAGACUUACAACACCCCCCAAAAUACCAACAAUUAAUCUUAAACCCCUAAACCCACCCGGCCGCCCCAUGCCUCCAUGGGAGCAAUUAUGCUAAAAUGAGUAAUAAGAGGGCACUCAACCCUCUCCCCGCACAUGUGUAUAUCGGAACGGACCCCCCACCGAACUUUAACGGCCCCAAGCAAAGAGGGUACUGUGUAAAAAAUUAAAUAACAAGAAAGCCCCACACACUUAUACCGUUAAUCCUACACUGGUGUGCCUAUAAGGAAAGACUAAAAGAAAAAGAAGGAACUCGGCAACCAUAACAAGCCUCGCCUGUUUACCAAAAACAUCGCCUCUUGAAAAAACAGUAUAAGAGGUCCCGCCUGCCCAGUGACAACAUUGUUUAACGGCCGCGGUACUUUGACCGUGCGAAGGUAGCGCAAUCACUUGUCUUUUAAAUGAAGACCUGUAUGAAUGGCACGACGAGGGCUUAACUGUCUCCUUUUUCCAGUCAAUGAAAUUGAUCUUCCCGUGCAGAAGCGGGAAUAAUACCAUAAGACGAGAAGACCCUGUGGAGCUUCAGACACUAAAUCAGCCCUUGUCCAAAAUCCCAAUUAAAGGACUGAACACUAGAGUGAGACCUGAUAUAAUGUCUUCGGUUGGGGCGACCUCGGGGAAAGAAAAAACCCCCACGCGGAGCAGAAGUACCAUACUUCCAAAACUAAGAGCUACCGCUCAAAGUAUCAGAAAUUUUGACCAACUAUGUGAUCCGGCUUAACGCCGAUCAACGGACCGAGUUACCCCAGGGAUAACAGCGCAAUCCUCUUUUAGAGCCCAUAUCGACAAGAGGGUUUACGACCUCGAUGUUGGAUCAGGACAUCCUAAUGGUGCAGCCGCUAUUAAGGGUUCGUUUGUUCAACGAUUAAAGUCCUACGUGAUCUGAGUUCAGACCGGAGCAAUCCAGGUCAGUUUCUAUCUAUGACAUGAGCUUUUCUAGUACGAAAGGACCGAAAAGAAGAGGCCAAUACCUUAAGCACGCCUCCCCCCGACCUGAUGAAAACAAAUAAAACAGGUAAAAGGGCAUACUCCUCCCGCCUAAGAUAAUAGCAU
rnacentral:rRNA from 1 species